rnacentral:rRNA from 1 species
GCCUUCGGGAGCUCUGAGACAGGUGCUGCAUGGCUGUCGUCAGCUCGUGUUGUGAAAUGUUGGGUUAAGUCCCGCAACGAGCGCAACCCUUAUCCUUUGUUGCCAGCGAUUCGGUCGGGAACUCAAAGGAGACUGCCGGUGAUAAACCGGAGGAAGGUGGGGAUGACGUCAAGUCAUCAUGGCCCUUACGAGUAGGGCUACACACGUGCUACAAUGGCGCAUACAAAGAGAAGCGACCUCGCGAGAGCAAGCGGACCUCAUAAAGUGCGUCGUAGUCCGGAUCGGAGUCUGCAACUCGACUCCGUGAAGUCGGAAUCGCUAGUAAUCGUGGAUCAGAAUGCCACGGUGAAUACGUUCCCGGGCCUUGUACACACCGCCCGUCACACCAUGGGAGUGGGUUGCAAAAGAAGUAGGUAGCUUAACCUUCGGGAGGGCGCUUACCACUUUGUGAUUCAUGACUGGGGUGAAGUCGUAACAG